rnacentral:misc_RNA from 1 species
AGAUGAAGAAGAAGAAGAAGAAGACGGAAAAGUUAGGUUUAGUUGAACUCCAAAGAGCUUCAGACUUUCUUUGUGAAAAGUGCAAGUUCUUGAAUUAUGCCCUAUACUCCCACAGUAAGAACAUUUCCUGCCCAUAUUCUUGCCCACCAAACCCACUAAUCAACUACUAAAACCUCUCAAACCAUGAUCUACUUGAGAGGGAUAGAGAGAAAUCACCACUCACCAGGAUAAAUCUUGUCUCUGAUUUAUAUAUGUAGAAUGAUGGACUUUGCUUUUUCUGGUUUGGAUUUUUUUCCACCAAACAUUUUCUAACCCAGA